GACAGAGGGUGCAAACGUUGUUCGGAAUUACUGGGCAUAAAGCGCGCGUAGGUGGUUCGCUAAGUCGCGUGUGAAAUCCCCCGGCUCAACCGGGGAAUUGCGGGCGAUACUGGCGAGCUGGAGAUCGGGAGGGGUGAGUGGAACUCCAGGUGGAGCGGUGAAAUGCGUAGAUAUCUGGAGGAACACCGGUGGCGAAAGCGACUCACUGGCCCGAAACUGACACUGAGGCGCGAAAGCUAGGGUAGCAAACGGG
rnacentral:rRNA from 1 species